CCUACGGGAGGCACCAGUAGGGAAUCUUCCACAAUGGACGCAAGUCUGAUGGAGCAACGCCGCGUGAGUGAAGAAGGUUUUCGGAUCGUAAAGCUCUGUUGUUGGUGAAGAAGGAUAGAGGCAGUAACUGGUCUUUAUUUGACGGUAAUCAACCAGAAAGUCACGGCUAACUACGUGCCAGCAGCCGCGGUAAUACGUAGGUGGCAAGCGUUGUCCGGAUUUAUUGGGCGUAAAGCGAGCGCAGGCGGAAUGAUAAGUCUGAUGUGAAAGCCCACGGCUCAACCGUGGAACUGCAUCGGAAACUGUCAUUCUUGAGUGCAGAAGAGGAGAGUGGAACUCCAUGUGUAGCGGUGGAAUGCGUAGAUAUAUGGAAGAACACCAGUGGCGAAGGCGGCUCUCUGGUCUGCAACUGACGCUGAGGCUCGAAAGCAUGGGUAGCGAACAGGAUUAGAUACCCGCGUAGUC
rnacentral:rRNA from 1 species